rfam:Ovis aries breed Texel chromosome 3, whole genome shotgun sequence.
GUAGUCAUGGCAAAGUGGUUAAGGAAAUGAGCUAGAAAUCCACUGGGGUCUCCCUGAGCAGGUUCAAAUCCUGCCGACUAUG